rnacentral:rRNA from 1 species
AUUGAACGCUGGCGGCAGGCCUAACACAUGCAAGUCGAGCGAGCGGCGGACGGGUGAGCAAUGUCUGGGAAACUGCCUGAUGGAGGGGGAUAACUACUGGAAACGGUAGCUAAUACCGCAUACCAUCGGAUGUGCCCAGAUGGGUUUAGCGAGUAGGUGGGGUAAAGGCUCACCUAGGCGACGAUCCCUAGCUGGUCUGAGAGGAUGACCAGCCACACUGGAACUGAGACACGGUCCAGACUCCUACGGGAGGCAGCAGUGGGGAAUAUUGCACAAGGGGCGCAAGCCUGAUGCAGCCAUGCCGCGUGUGUGAAGAAGGCCUUCGGGUUGUAAAGCACUUUCAGCGAGGAGGCGUUACCCGCAGAAGAAGCACCGGCUAACUCCGUGCCAGCAGCCGCGGUAAUAC